AUUUACUGUUACUGUUCCUUCCACUUAUUCAUCCUGCCUCAAACUCUGUGAUUUGGGAAUAAAAGUGAUGAAUAAAGUCCCCAUCAAGAGGAUAACAAUUUAUUAUUCAUCUUACAAAAAUCUCCUUCUUACGAAGAAUCUGCUCCCCAAUGAAGCUUACCUUGACUGUCACAGGAAGAUUACUCAGGUUUUUAAAGAUAGCCCCUGGUGAAUUAAACUUGCCAGUAUUUGUUUUUGUGUAGUUUCUUUAUUAAUUGAAUCUGGACUGGCCUGAAAUUCAACAGAAUAUGGAAAACUCAAUCUUGUAUGUACCAAGCUUUUAAGAAGAUAAGUGACUUCUACCUUUUGUUCAUGUAAAACCUACUUUUGGGAGCCUCAAGAUAUCAUGUAAGAGGUCUCACUACAAGGAGAAGAUUCCACAUGGAGAGAGCACAUAGAAAGAUAAUGUGGAAAGGAGAACUCUUUAGACUACAGGAAGAGGGAAUGGAGCUCAGCCCUCCCAGAACCCCCGGUAAAAGAAGAAAAAUGAAACCAACUUGAGCAAAGCAAGAAUAUAUUGUUUCAAAAGAAAAGGCACCUGAUUGUCUAAAAACAUGGCUUUAGAAGAAAUAAUGCACAGUAAAGGCAUGAACUUCCCAUAAAUAAACUGUCAGUUGGAGAAAAGCCAAGAAAACAGGUAUGAGAAAUAUUUCCCAAUAUGUGAACAACUCCUGUUAGUCUUACAGGAUUCUAGGCACAUAAAGAAGGACUAUGCUUGUACAUACACAUAAUUCGUGAGUGGAAACUGGCACUAUUACUGGUAUGAAACUUGGGAGGGUGAUAUUGAAUAAAAAGGAUAUAAAAGAUUAUUAAUUUUUAAUUAUUUAGUUUUUAAAGUAGCACAUGCUUGUUGUAAACAAAGGCAUAAAGGACCACACAGAGAGAAGAAAAAUCUAUUAAAUAAAAGUGAAUUAUUUCUCCUAUCUGCUCCCACUUACAUUCUCUCUCUCUAGAGGUAAAUAAUGUUAACAAAUACAUAAUUUUUCAGACACAUUUACAAACACAUACAUACAUAUAUCUAUACAGAUUU